rnacentral:rRNA from 1 species
AGGAUAAACGCUGGCGGCGUGCCUAACACAUGCAAGUCGAACGCGCUUUCGGGCUUCGGUGCGAGAGCGAGUGGCGGACGGGUGAGUAACACAUGGGUACCUACCUUGGAGUGAGGGAUACCGGCGAGAAAUCGCCGACAAUACCGCAUAGGCUUCUUCACAAGGGAAGCAAAGUGACGCGAGUCACGCUUUGAGAUGGGCCUGUGGCCGAUUAGCUAGUUGGGGGGGUAACGGCUUCCCAAGGCGACGAUCGGUAGCUGGUCUGAGAGGACGAUCAGCCACACUGGGAUUGAGAACGGCCCAGACUCCUACGGGGGGCAGCAGUGAGGAAUUUUCCGCAAUGGAGGCAACUCUGACGGAGCAACGCCGCGUGCAGGAGGAAGGUUUUCGGAUCGUAAACUGCUUUUCUCGGGGACGAGCAAGGACGGUACCCGAGGAACGAAGCCCCGGCUAACUACGUGCCAGCAGCCGC